rnacentral:rRNA from 1 species
UACGAAGGGGGCUAGCGUUGCUCGGAAUUACUGGGUGUAAAGGGUUCGUAGGCGGUGCGGCAAGUCGGGAGUGAAAUCUCUGGGCUUAACCCAGAGGCUGCUUCCGAAACUGCUGUGCUUGAGUGUGGGAGAGGCGCGUGGAAUUGCAGGUGUAGCAGUGAAAUGCGUAGAUAUCUGCAGGAACACCCGUGGCGAAAGCGGCGCGCUGGACCACUACUGACGCUGAGGAACGAAAGCUAGGGGAGCAAACAGG